CUACUUUUGGUGACAAUUUUCGGACUAAAGACCAGUUAACUGGGGACGACUUGUCCAACUGGCGGAAAAAAGCCGUGGCCCCAACCGGGACAAAGCUGUUUUUUGGCCUCAGCUCCACCUGUUAGCCAGGUGUAACGGAGUGAGCAGGUGAGGCCAACGGCCCACAGGUGUGUCCCGGUCUGGACUCUUGAGUCGGGAAAACCAGUUUAACCACCGCUGACCGAGGCUAACACACCGUUAGCACGGAGCUAACAUUAGCAGAGACGGCUAACCCGGCUACGAACCCCGAGCUAAGGCUAACUAGCCGCUUUAGCCGAGCCGGACAGACCCCAGACAGACAGUUCAGCUCGGUGACCAGCAGGAGGAGCCAGAACUCCGCUGACUGACUUCGGGGGACUUCGGGGUAAUGGAGUUCUCUGGUGCCCCCCGACAAUAUAUCAUUGUCCCAUUAAAUAAUUGUCCCAUUUAAUA